rnacentral:piRNA from 1 species
AGGAGGGGUGAACCGGCCCAGGU